rnacentral:tRNA from 1 species
GGGCUUUUAGCUCAGUUGGUAGAGCGCCCGCCUUGCACGCGGGAGGUCGGGGGUUCGACUCCCUCAGAGUCCA